rnacentral:piRNA from 1 species
UGUGAUCCUUUGCUAAGGUAUUGUGU